AGUUCGGAUCGCAGCCUGCAACCCGGCUGCGUGAAGCUGGAAUCGCUAGUAAUCGCGGAUCAGAAUGCCGCGGUGAAUACGUUCCCGGGUCUUGUACACACCGCCCGUCACACCAUGGGAGCCGGAAACGCCCGAAGCCAGCGGCCCAACCGCGAAGGGGGGCGCGGCCGAAGGUGGGUUCGAUAAUUGGGGUGAAGUCGUAACAAGGUAAC
rnacentral:rRNA from 1 species